rnacentral:tRNA from 1 species
GGGCGGGUGGUCUAGUGGUAUGACGCCCAGACACUGGAGACCCUAAAGCAGUCUUGUUCGGGGAGCCAAAAAAAAAACAAAUGACACGUAAAAAAAAGAAAAGCAGUCGCAGUCCAGGGUCAGUGUCUUCGGGAGACCCAGGUUCGAAUCCUGGCCCGCCCA